rnacentral:lncRNA from 1 species
GUCGGUUACUAUAACAUGAAGGAACCACUUUAUUGAACAAGGGCUCCUUUAGAUGGGCAUUUAUUUAUAGUGCGGUGCAUUUAAAAUGAGAUUAGUAUCUAAUCUCACCACAGUUGUUUUUACACUAAUCUCAGGUAAACGCACCGCCCAUCCAAAGGAGCCUUAAUUCUUAGAAGAAACCAAAUCUCAUGCUCAUCGUUGAUCUGCCGUAAUUUGAUAUGGCAAAUUAAGCUUUCCCAAUAUACUUAAGGAGCUUAUUCUCAAGCAAAGUAGCGUAUUUUCCGUAAUUUUUCGUAUUUUUUAGGCUUAAUUUAGUGAGUGUAAAUGCCUUGUUUUUAUUCAUUUUGAGACCUAAUCUGGCCAAUAGUGCCAUUGGGGACCCUAACGUAUGCUUGAGUGAUGUAGGGACGUGUUGGAGGCUAAAAUCGAGCAAGAAUGGCACCAAAGGAUAGGGCAUUGCGACAUCGAAACCUUGGAAUCGUGAUACCUCCAAUAGACCCAAGAUUGGAAACCACCCUUCAGUGGUAUCGUGAAGCCCUCCAAGUUCGAAAUUGUUCAAGGUAUCGCGAUAUUCUCUUACUUGGUAUCACAAUACCGAUAUCGUGAGAGGACAAAAGUUGAUGAAAAGGGUAGUCUUUGUCCACUUGAAGCACCAAUCAUUGAAGGCUUGUUCAAAAGUAUUUUGGGCACAAGAAUUAGGUCAAAAUAGCUGCUAUAUCAGCCAAAAUUUAGCUAAGAGAUAAAGAAAUGCCACAUUAGCUUGUUCAGGCUUAGUUUUUCUCUAACUAAUUUAAAUUCUUUAAGGAUAAUUUUAUCUCUAAAUAAUUUAAUUAAUAUGAGAUUAAU